GUGUCAACACAUAAGCACUGCUUAUGUGUGGACUUUCGGUGGAGGAACCAAACUCAUCAUUAACUCCGGCCCCAUGGUCAGUCCCUCAGUCUCUCUGCUUCCCCCCCUCCUCUGAGCAGCUCUCUGGGGGCUCGGCCACGCUGGCCUGCCUGCUGACUGGCUACUCUCCUCAGGGAGCCGUGGUGAGCUGGGAUGUGGACGGUACAGUGGUGACAGACGGGGUCCUGAGCAGCUCAGAGGAGGAGAAGAGCGGACGCUACAGCAGCAGCAGCACCCUGAGCCUGAGCCAGGAGCGCUGGAUGUUAGGAGAGCUGUACACCUGCAGGGUCCUCCAUCACGGCCACAGCGAGACCCAGUCCCUCCACAGGAGCCAGUGUCAGGGCUAGAGGGGCCGGCUGAAGCCCAGGACAGGAGCUCUGUGUGGGGGGAGCAGGAGGAACACACCUGCUGCUCUCAUCAAUAUGAGUUUUAACGUUUAAUAACUGUCAUGUUGAUGAUGAUGUUGCUAAUAAAGCUUUCACUGAUAAAUAA